GUCAUAACUACAAGUCUUCAUCUGUUCUCUUCAGAGGGCAUGACUCUGGGAAACUGAGCACUUUGAACGUGAGGGUCAUUCCAGAGUCCACUCAAAGGUUUCCCUUAGUGCGGGUCAAGGAAGUGCUUCCCUCAAUACCAGAGCUUGAAGUCACUUCUGCUGUGCACCAGCAAGAUCAGUACACAUGGCUAUCCUUGGACAAUCUGGACUAGAGACUUUGACGAAUAAUGAGAAUUUUGUUUUGGAUUGAGUGGACUGGUAAAUGCUUGGGUCCAGCGAAGGAAGCACUGAUAGGUGAAUGGCGGGGCUCAGACCCUGAAGAGAAUGAACAGGAGAGCGUCUAUCUGACCCACAAGAUCAAGGGAACGAGAGUGUGAGCUAUGGAAGACAUGAGAGAGCAUGGGAGUGCUCCCCUUCACCACCCGUCGCCAUCCCACGCAGCAUGGACCUCAGGUCUCCAUUCUGAGGAGCCAAUGACCAUGGAUGCAGAACCUCUCAUUGGAUCACGUUGCAGGUGCAGGAUAGUUUUUCCUACACAAAUGAUGUUUCUGUUUGGCAGGUUACUUAAGUGGGCCUGUGUAUUUAUUCAUACAU
rnacentral:lncRNA from 1 species